rnacentral:rRNA from 1 species
UGGGGAAUCUUCCGCAAUGGACGAAAGUCUGACGGAGCAACGCCGCGUGAGUGAUGACGGCCUUCGGGUUGUAAAGCUCUGUUAAUCGGGACGAAAGGCCUUCUUGCGAAUAGUUAGAAGGAUUGACGGUACCGGAAUAGAAAGCCACGGCUAACUACGUGCCAGCAGCCGCGGUAAUACGUAGGUGGCAAGCGUUGUCCGGAAUUAUUGGGCGUAAAGCGCGCGCAGGCGGAUCAGUCAGUCUGUCUUAAAAGUUCGGGGCUUAACCCCGUGAUGGGAUGGAAACUGCUGAUCUAGAGUAUCGGAGAGGAAAGUGGAAUUCCUAGUGUAGCGGUGAAAUGCGUAGAUAUUAGGAAGAACACCAGUGGCGAAGGCGACUUUCUGGACGAAAACUGACGCUGAGGCGCGAAAGCCAGGGGAGCGAACGGGAUUAGAUACCCCGGUAGUCCUGGCCGUAAACGAUGGGUACUAGGUGUAGGAGGUAUCGACCCCUUCUGUGCCGGAGUUAACGCAAUAAGUACCCCGCCUGGGGAGUACGGCCGCAAGGUUG